GAUGAACGCUGGCGGCGUGCCUAAUACAUGCAAGUCGAGCGAACGGACGAGAAGCUUGCUUCUCUGAUGUUAGCGGCGGACGGGUGAGUAACACGUGGAUAACCUACCUAUAAGACUGGGAUAACUUCGGGAAACCGGAGCUAAUACCGGAUAAUAUGUUGAACCGCAUGGUUCAAAAGUGAAAGACGGUCUUGCUGUCACUUAGUGAUGGAUCCGCGCUGCAUUAGCUAGUUGGUAAGGUAACGGCUUACCAAGGCAACGAUGCAUAGCCGACCUGAGAGGGUGAUCGGCCACACUGGAACUGAGACACGGUCCAGACUCCUACGGGAGGCAGCAGUAGGGAAUCUUCCGCAAUGGGCGAAAGCCUGACGGAGCAACGCCGCGUGAGUGAUGAAGGUCUUCGGAUCGUAAAACUCUGUUAUUAGGGAAGAACAUAUGUGUAAGUAACUGUGCACAUCUUGACGGUACCUAAUCAGAAAGCCACGGCUAACUACGUG
rnacentral:rRNA from 1 species